rnacentral:misc_RNA from 1 species
AAGUCGUAACAAGGUAACCGUAGGUGAACCUGCGGUUGGAUCAUUAACAAAAAUUUUAAUCUUGGGCCUUUUUUAUUAGGCUUUAGGCCUAUGAAAAAGGUUCUUGAACAAAAUGUGAACUGUUUUAUUAAAAACAUUUUGGGUUGGGUUUCCUUUUCGGGGGGACGCAAGAGGUCUAUUUUUUAGGCUUGCCUGCCCAAAAUAAAUUUUUAGACUCUAGUAGAAAAAAUUGUCUUUAACUAAAAGAGCUUUUUUUGGCUUAAAAUUUUUAAGAAAAAAACAACUUUUGACAACGGAUCUCUAGGCUCUC